GCGCCUGUAGCUCAGCUGGAUAGAGUAUCUGACUACGAAUCAGGAGGUCGUGAGUUCGAAUCUCGCCAGGCGCA
rnacentral:tRNA from 1 species